rnacentral:rRNA from 1 species
GACGAACGCUGGCGGCGUGCUUAACACAUGCAAGUCGAACGGAAAGGCCCUGCUUUUGGGGGGUGCUCGAGUGGCGAACGGGUGAGUAACACGUGAGUAACCUGCCCCUGACUUUGGGAUAACUUCAGGAAACUGGGGCUAAUACCGGAUAGGAGCUCCUGCUGCUUGGUGGGGGUUGGAAAGUUUCGGCGGUUGGGGAUGGACUCGCGGCUUAUCAGCUUGUUGGUGGGGUAGUGGCUUACCAAGGCUUUGACGGGUAGCCGGCCUGAGAGGGUGACCGGCCCCAUUGGGACUGAGAUACGGCCCAGCCUCCUACGGGAGGCAGCAGUGGGGAAUAUUGCACAAUGGGCGGGAGCCUGGUGCGACAACGCCGCGUGCGGGAUGACGGCCUUCGGGUUGUAAACCGCUUUCGCCUGUGACGGAGCGUGAGUGACGGUAAUGGGUAAAGAAGCACCGGCUAACUACGUG